UAUUUUAUUUUAUUUUAUAUUUUAUUUCAUGUUAUAUUUAUUAUUUUAUUUUAUUUUAUUUUAUUUUAUUUUAUUUUAUUUUAUUUUAUUUUAUUUUAUUUUAUUUUAUUUUAUUUUAUUUUAUUUUAUUUUAUUUUAUUUUAUUUUUUCUCCUGCUGAUCCCAAAAACCUCCGGGAGGGAGGUGGAGGAAUAUCGGGAAUAAACAAACGGAUUUUCACUUUACUUUACUUUACUUUGCUUUAUUUUACUUUAUUUUAUUUUAUUUAUUAUUUUGUUUUAUUAUUAUAUUUUAUUUUAUUUUAUUUUAUUUUAUUUUAAUAUUCUUUAAUUUACUUUUAUUUAAUUUUAUUUAGUUUUUAUUUUAUUUUAUUUAUUUUAAUUUAAUUUAAUUUAUUUUAUUUCAUUUCAUUUCAUUUUAUUUCAUUUCAUUUCAUUUUAUUUUAUUUCAUUUUGUCUCCUGCUGAUGCCAAAAACCUCCUUGAGGGAGGCCAAACCUGCAGUUCUGCCAAGGAAAUCUGGGA
rnacentral:lncRNA from 1 species